rnacentral:rRNA from 2 species
ACGCUGGCGGCGUGCCUAAUACAUGCAAGUCGAGCGAAUGGAUUAAGAGCUUGCUCUUAUGAAGUUAGCGGCGGACGGGUGAGUAACACGUGGGUAACCUGCCCAUAAGACUGGGAUAACUCCGGGAAACCGGGGCUAAUACCGGAUAACAUUUUGAACCGCAUGGUUCGAAAUUGAAAGGCGGCUUCGGCUGUCACUUAUGGAUGGACCCGCGUCGCAUUAGCUAGUUGGUGAGGUAACGGCUCACCAAGGCAACGAUGCGUAGCCGACCUGAGAGGGUGAUCGGCCACACUGGGACUGAGACACGGCCCAGACUCCUACGGGAGGCAGCAGUAGGGAAUCUUCCGCAAUGGACGAAAGUCUGACGGAGCAACGCCGCGUGAGUGAUGAAGGCUUUCGGGUCGUAAAACUCUGUUGUUAGGGAAGAACAAGUGCUAGUUGAAUAAGCUGGCACCUUGACGGUACCUAACCAGAAAGCCACGGCUAACUACGUGCCAGCAGCCGCGGUAAUACGUAGGUGGCAAGCGUUAUCCGGAAUUAUUGGGCGUAAAGCGCGCGCAGGUGGUUUCUUAAGUCUGAUGUGAAAGCCCACGGCUCAACCGUGG